rnacentral:rRNA from 1 species
CCUACGGGUGGCAGCAGUCGAGAAUCAUUCACAAUGGGGGAAACCCUGAUGGUGCGACGCCGCGUGGGGGAUUGAAGGUCUUCGGAUUGUAAACCCCUGUCAUGUGGGAGCAAAUUAAAAAGAUAGUACCACAAGAGGAAGAGACGGCUAACUCUGUGCCAGCAGCCGCGGUAAUACAGAGGUCUCAAGCGUUGUUCGGAAUCACUGGGCGUAAGGCGUGCGUAGGCUGUUUCGUAAGUCGUGUGUGAAAGGCGCGGGCUCAACCCGCGGACGGCACAUGAUACUGCGAGACUAGAGUAAUGGAGGGGGAAGCGGAAUUCUUGGUGUAGCAGUGAAAUGCGUAGAUAUCGAGAGGAACACUCGUGGCGAAGGCGGGUUCCUGGACAUUAACUGACGCUGAGGCACGAAGGCCAGGGGAGCGAAAGGGAUUAGAUACCCGUGUAGUC